CGCGCGCCCGGGGUCCCGGGGAGCCCGCAGCGCCACGCCCGCCCAGGCUGCACCUGGACUCUCGCUCUCGCUCUCCCUCCCUCCCUCCCUGUCUCUCUUUUUCUGUCCUGCCAGACCAGCUUUUCGGAUUCACGGUUUCCUCCCCUCCUGGCCCAGAGGGGCGGAGCCACUGUGGUUUGCCCCUCCGCCCGCCCAGCCCCGCCCCCCCAUGCCUCCACGCCGACCCCUGGGCGCCGCGACCCCCUUGACCAGUGGGGAGAGUUGAGGGAAACUGAGGCCCGCAGUGGGGCCCCUCUGCUCCCCGCCAGAGCCAAGGAUCUGCCCCCAGCCUGGAGAGCUUGAAGCCCCUAGCGGGAGGGGCAAGGGGGGUGCUGGGGGUGAAGUGGGGGUGCAGAACAGGACGUGGGGAACGCUCACCUCUACCCGCCCCCACCCCCCCCCCCUCCAGCUCCCGCCCGUGUCAUGAACUCUCCUUUCUGAGUAGCGGGCGGUGAGGCACCCAUUGGAGUGUCUGUGGACACAGGGCUUGGAGUGGGCCCUCUUACAACUUGACUGGCUCUGUGGCCGUCGAAGGCCCCCGAACUGUGAGCCUCGGCAGAGUGACUAGGUCUGAGCGCCCGGCCUGCUGGGAGACGGUGGGCGGGCCCGUCCCUAAGGCCAAAUGCGCUGGAAAGGCCAACAGGGGAGAUGGAGAAGCCAGCUUCCAGUGAGAGACAGUGGUGUGUCCGCCUGUCAUCUGAUAUUGGAAAGAGUGAUUGUCCUGAAGAUCAAAGGCGUGAGGGCGAAUGAGUAGCUUUCCCUGGAUCCAGCUGGGAAAAGGUCUCAGCAAGAAAUGAAUGUCACCUCCUCAGAGGAGCUUCCCUGUCCUCUAGAUGUCCCACAGCACCUCCUGGCAUUCAUUCUUUAUCUCUUUACCCCGGUUGCUUUUCUUCAGGCUCUGAUCUCUAACUGAAAUCAUCUUGGUUAUGUAUUUCCUUAUGAGCAGCUGGCUCUGACUUCUCCCACUGGACCAGCAGGCAUAGAUCCUGUAUCUCCAGAGCCCACACAAGGCUUGUCACAGGAGAGAUGGAAGCAGAAUCUGGGUAGAUCCCAUUAGACUAGAUCCCAGGGAAUUGUGUCUUCCUUUUGGAAUCUCAUGCACCUGGAAUUUUUUUUUUUUUUUUUUUUUAGAGCUCUUAACACUUUAUAAGUACAUAUUGGUGGGAUUAUUUCCUUGAGGCCUAUCUCUUACUAGGGCAAGGAUUCAUGACCGUUUUGUGCCAAAGUUUGCUCUUGUGUUGGGUGAAGCCUUUGGAUCCCUUCUCAGAAUAACGUGUUUAAAUGCAUAAAGUAAAAUACCUAGGAUUAUAAAGGAAGCCGAUUAUAUUGAAGUAGAAUCAACAAAAUGUUAAAAUGUAAAUUUGUUAUAUAGUUACAUGUGCUUCUUCAUUUAUACGUUUAAUAAUAAAACCUAUCGUAAUUCUCUAAGUGGUGAUAAGCAUAAUUGGUUUUUUGAGAUGUCUGCAAAAACAGGAAUGUGAGGAGCUCCUGGGUGGCUCGUUCAGUUAGGUGUCAGACUCUU